rnacentral:rRNA from 1 species
GACGAACGCUGGCGGCGUGCUUAACACAUGCAAGUCGAACGGAAAGGCCCUGCUUUUGUGGGGUGCUCGAGUGGCGAACGGGUGAGUAACACGUGAGUAACCUGCCCUUGACUUUGGGAUAACUUCAGGAAACUGGGGCUAAUACCGGAUAGGAGCUCCUGCUGCAUGGUGGGGGUUGGAAAGUUUCGGCGGUUGGGGAUGGACUCGCGGCUUAUGAGCUUGUUGGUGGGGUAGUGGCUUACCAAGGCUUUGACGGGUAGCCGGCCUGAGAGGGUGACCGGCCACAUUGCUACUGCGAUACGGCCCAGUCGCGUACGGGAGGCAGCAGUGGGGAGUAUUGCACAAUGGGCGGAAGCCUGAUGCAGCAACGCCGCGUGCGGGAUGACGGCCUUCGGGUUGUAAACCGCUUUCGCCGGUGACGAAGCGGGAGUGACGGUAAUGGGUAAAGAAGCACCGGCUAACUACGUG